UACGUAGGGUGCGAGCGUUAAUCGGAAUUACUGGGCGUAAAGCGUGCGCAGGCGGUUUUGUAAGCCAGAUGUGAAAUCCCCGGGCUCAACCUGGGAAUGGCAUUUGGGACUGCAAGGCUGGAGUGUGGCAGAGGAGACUGGAAUUCCUGGUGUAGCAGUGAAAUGCGUAGAUAUCAGGAGGAACACCGAUGGCGAAGGCAGGUCUCUGGGCCAUUACUGACACUGAGAAGCGAAAGCAUGGGGAGCGAACAGG
rnacentral:rRNA from 1 species